rnacentral:rRNA from 1 species
AGUUAAAGUGCCAAAAUGUACGCUAAUGUAGAUCCCAUAAAAAGGUGUUGAUUCAUUUAGACAGCAGGACGGUGGUCAUGGAAGUCGAAAUCCGCUAAGAAGUGUGUAACAACUUACCUGCCGAAUGAAUUAGCCCUGAAAAUUGAUGGCGCUCAAGCGUACUACUUAUACUCUGCCGUCAAGACACACUCUAAAAAAUGAAGUCUUGACGAGUAGGUGUGCGUGGAGGUUGCAGAGAAGCUUACCCCGUGAGGGGGAGUGUAGCAGCCUUUAGUGCAGAUCUUGGUGGUAGUAGCAAAUAUUCAAGUGAGAACCUUGAAGGCCGAAGUGGAGAAAGGUUUCGCGAGAACAGCAUUUGAUCGCGAGUCAGUCGAUCCUGAGGCACAGAUUAACCUCGUGAACAGCAUAAUU